GGUAAGCAGUUCUUAUUUUUUCUCUCCAAAUAAAAGUUAAAAUUUUGUUUGUCAUAGUACCUACAUGACUUUUUAGUUCUCAUUACUGAAACAUGAGUUUGUGAAGUUUUAAAAAAUGUUGCCGUUUUAAUUUUUUGAUUACUAUAUACCCCAUUAUGGUCUAAAUAUAUAAAGAGAGGGAAAGUUUAGCUAACCCUCAUUUAGCUUCCACAGUUAGCAAGAAUGUUUAAGGUCGCUCAUCCUCCGCAACACCAUUAUCAUUCACCGCAACAAUUGAAGGCCUGUUGCGGUGGAAAUACUCAAUGUUUCGGUAAUGAGAAACAGACUUAUGAAGGAGGGACAUGCACUAUAACUCUUGCUCAUUUCAAUAUAACUUGAUAUUUGCCUUAAACACUUAAAAUAGCAAAAAUAACAAAAUAGCUAUUACAACCCCCCCAGCAGGGGUCACAAAUGUUUCAUUCUUAUGAAGUGCUUCCACAAAAAGCAGUAUGAAUGCAGUAUAGGCCACCUACUAUAAAUGUAAUAUUAUUUAAUAUUUUUACUGUGAAACAAUGUAUUUCUAUGUCUUUUUCAUGAAAUGUUACAUUCAAGAUGACUAUUGUAUAUUUUGUAACCGCUUCCUGUCACCUCCUCUGCUAGACAUUUCUGCAUUUUACCUGACAUAUGGGCAAAACACAAUAAACGCUCAUGAAUGAGUUACAGUUGGGGGAAAACGUGAUUGGUACAAAGCAGUCGUUCCAGUUGUUUGUUUUAGUUGUUUGACCAACUCAUAAAUCGAGUUGCUGCUAUUCAAGUUCUUCACAUGAAAUUAUUCUCAGAAAAAGGUUGUGUGGUUGAAUGUCAGGACCAAAGCGUUUUAGCUAAACUAAAAUCUUUUUACAAGAGCACAUGAUGCUGUUACAUUUAAAUGUUUCUCAGGACCACAUGAUGAUAUGUUACAUUGAAAAAGUUCUCAUGAACACAUAUGUUAUAUGUUAUACUAGAAUGAUAAUAUUUCUACUAAUGGUUGUAUAUUUGUUAGUACUACAGUGUAGGCUACAUGACAUGAUUCUUUAUGAGCAUAAGAUUGUAACUUGUAUACACAACACUUGUUAACACAAGGCAUGGUACUGUGAUGAUUACGAUAAAUGAGAAAAUGAAACUCUGUUUAUGAAAUAAAUAUUCUUUUAAAAAUUGUAUGCGUUUUAAAUAUGUAAAAUAGGGUUAGGCAUCAAACCCCUUUGUCAACAGUGAAUAUGUGAGCUAAAUCUCAUUUCCGAAACAUUGAUCCUCAUUACCGAAAUGGUAUUUUCAUUACCGCAACAUGUAUCUUUUUUACAAAUUAAGUAAUAAUUCGAUAAUCAUAUUUUGUUUUAAAAUGUAUAUACAUAUUAUACAACACUACUUAUUUAAGGUCUGCUACAUAACAAAUGUGUAUGUUAUUUUUUAGUAAAACAAUUAAAUAAAAGAAAUUGUAAAUCAUCACAUGAUUAAUGAGAGAAAAUAAGGAAAUUACAAAAAAUAAUAAAUAUGAAAAAGUAAUCUCUCCAGAGUUUUACAUAGCUUUGAGCAUGAGUAAUAAGAGUCUACUUUAACAUUAGCCAAAAAUACACAUUUUUAACCAUAUAUUUAAUGUAAUGUCAUGUUGCGGUAAUGAUAAUUUUUUAUGGACUUCAUCUAAAAAAUUUAAAUAAUUAUAUAGGAAAUAUUUUUUUAAAUCUUGUAAAAAUAAUGGUUAUAGUAAGUUCAGACCUUAAUCUUAUAUGUGCAAAAAGAAAAUUGGCUUUAAGGGCAUUUAAAAAAUUCUGAUGCUGGACACCUUCUAAAUCUGGAUUUCUUGAGAAUCACCCAAAUGUGGCCAUUUUUCCUGGAGCCUCUGGUGUUUUCAGCACAUUGGAUCUUACUCCAAGAGCUCUGUAUGAGAUUCACGGUGAGGUGAAGAACACCUCAUCAGCUUCAAAUACCACAGCUCAACAUUCAUGCGAACACCUGCGACUACUCCUAAUCCAACUGUGCAGUUCAAACAUUUCAAAGGUAACUUCUUAAAUGACGGUGAUACGAUUUAUAAUUUCAAAUGUACCAAUUACAGGACGGGAAAUAAAAUAUAAUUAAAUAUAAUUGCAAAACACCUACUUCACAUUUGAUGAUAUGAUCAACUCCAGUUGCCAGUCUUUGUCUCAUUUGUAGUUGUAGUGUAAUAGUUAAUACUACUUGUUGUACAUUUCAUUUACAUUAUUAUGCACAUUUUAACAUUUCCCCCUGACUUUCAUAACCUCUGCCAAGAAAGUGCCGGAGGUUAUGUUUUUGCAGUGUCUGUCAGCAAUCUUAUGCAAAAUGUUAUGAAAGUAUUUACAUGGAACUUUGUGUAUUGUUUGGUCCUGAGCCAAGGAAGAGAUAAUUACAUUUUCACACCAGUCAACCCACAGAUACUAUAAGAACAAACUGAGUGCAUUUUAUAGUUAUUGUUGAUAUACAAAAUACAUAAGACUAUUAACCAUUACUAGGAUUAUGAAUGCCGUGUGUUUUAAUAUGAUAUUCUUCCAGAUAAAUUUUUCUUGCUGAGGUGGUUGGUGGGAGGUUGAGUCCCAGCAGAAUGGUGGUGUUCAGGUUUUUGGAAUGUGAGGCUACCCUUCACGGGAAAAUCAGAAAAGUGCAAGAUGCCAUUGGAAGUCAUAACCCCGAAGGAACAACAGGGUCACAGUUCUGGAAACAAAAUGCAUGAAAGAUUCUUGCUGUACAAGAACAGGGCUUCCAGGGCACCAAAAGGAGGAGAAUGAUCCGAAAAGAUGAAGAUGCUGCAGGCAUUGGAGAGGUCACUGAGAAGAUAGAAGAGCUUGUACUGGCAUCACAGAGCCUACCAGAUGUCACUGCAGCAAUCAGAGAGCUCACCAAUCUAGCUGCCACUGAAAGAGUGAUCCUGACUCCUUCCCAGCUACAGACCAUCAAGCAAGGGUUCUGCUGUGUUGUUUGUAUGAUUCAUCGAGAAGCCAGUCUUCACACAGUGUUGCCGGAGCAUUAUUGGCUGCAAAACAUGUGUGGAACAGUGGCAGGAGACCUUAAUAUUUGCAAUUAAUGGUCUUUCAGAGGCAUGUUCUGUUCUGAGAUCCUUUUUUGAUCCCUGUGGGGUUUUUUUGGGACACCCACGGCAGGCCAAGUAAUUUGGUA